rnacentral:rRNA from 1 species
AGAGUUUGAUCAUGGCUCAGAGCGAACGCUGGCGGCGUGCCUAACACAUGCAAGUCGAACGUGAAAGAGGGGCAACCCUUGAGUAAAGUGGCGCACGGGUGAGUAACGCGUAGGUAAUCUACCCCGGAGUCCGGAAUAACCUGCCGAAAGGCGGGCUAAUACUGGAUAGAGCGACGGAAUCCGUAAUUGGGUUUUUCGGG